GGCACUGUGGUGUAGUUAUUAUCACAUCUGCCUAACACACAGAAGGUCCCCAGUUCGAGCCUGAGUGGUGUCA
rnacentral:tRNA from 1 species